rnacentral:rRNA from 1 species
GACGAACGCUGGCGGCGUGCCUAAUACAUGCCAGUAGAACGCUGAAGGAGGAGCUUGCUUCUCUGGAUGAGUUGCGAACGGGUGAGUAACGCGUAGGUAACCUGCCUGGUAGCGGGGGAUAACUAUUGGAAACGAUAGCUAAUACCGCAUAAGAGUAGAUGUUGCAUGACAUUUGCUUAAAAGGUGCAAUUGCAUCACUACCAGAUGGACCUGCGUUGUAUUAGCUAGUUGGUGGGGUAACGGCUUACCAAGGCGACGAUACAUAGCCGACCUGGGAGGGGGAUCGGCCAAACUGGGAAGGGGACAAGGCCCAGAAGCCUACGGGAGGCAGCAGUAGGGGAACUUCGGCAAUGGACGGAAGUCUGACCGAGCAACGCCGCGUGAGUGAAGAAGGGUCUCGGAUCGUAAAGAUCUGUUGUAAGAGAAGAACGAGAGUGAGAGUGGAAAGUUCACACUGUGACGGUAUCUUACCAGAAAGGGACGGCUAACUACGUG